rnacentral:rRNA from 1 species
GACGAACGCUGGCGGCGUGCUUAACACAUGCAAGUCGAACGGAAAGGCCCUGCUUUUGUGGCGUGCUCGAUUGGCGAACGGGUGAGUAACACGUGAGUAACCUGCCCUUGACUUUGGGAUAACUUCAGGAAACUGGGGCUAAUACCCGAUAGGAUCUCCUGCUGCAUGGUGGUGGUUGGAAAGUUUCGGCGGUUGGGGAUGGACUCGCGGCUUAUCAGCUGGUUGGUGGGGUUGUGGCUUACCACGGCUUUGACGGGUAGCCGGCCUGAGAGGGUGACCGGCCACAUUGGGACUGCGAUACGGCGCAGAAUCCUACGGGCGGCAGCAGUGGGGAAUAUUGCACAAUGGGCGGAAGCCUGAUGUAGAAACGCCGCGUGCGGAAUGACGGCCUUCGAGUUGUAAACCGCUUUCGCCUGUGACGUAGAGUGAGUGACGGUAAUGGGUAAAGAAGCACCGGCUAACUACGUG